GGGCUGAAAAACAUAACCCAUAAAUGCUAGUUGUACCAAGAACCACCUCAUUGGCCUGUGGAAUCUCCCUUCCGCAGGCCACCUU
rnacentral:sRNA from 1 species